rnacentral:rRNA from 1 species
GGCUCAGGACGAACGCUGGCGGCGUGCCUAAUACAUGCAAGUCGAACGGUCUUUCUAUGGAAGCUUGCUUCCACUGAGAAGAUAGUGGCGAACGGGUGAGUAACACGUGGGUAACCUGCCCAUAAGAGGGGGGAUAACAUCCGGAAACGGGUGCUAAUACCGCAUAGUUUUCUUGAUCGCAUGAUUGAGAAAGGAAAGACGGCCUUUGUGCUGUCGCUUAUGGAUGGACCCGCGGCGUAUUAGUUAGUUGGUGAGGUAACGGCUCACCAAGACGAUGAUACGUAGCCGACCUGAGAGGGUGAUCGGCCACAUUGGGACUGAGACACGGCCCAAACUCCUACGGGAGGCAGCAGUAGGGAAUCUUCCGCAAUGGACGAAAGUCUGACGGAGCAACGCCGCGUGAGUGAAAGAAGGUUUUCGGAUCGUAAAACUCUGUUGUCAGAGAAGAACAAGUUGGAGAGUAACUGCUCCAGCCUUGACGGUAUCUGACCAGAAAGCCACGGCUAACUACGUGCCAGCCGCCGC